rnacentral:rRNA from 1 species
GAUGAACGCUGGCGGCGUGCCUAAUACAUGCAAGUCGAGCGAACGGACGAGAAGCUUGCUUCUCUGAUGUUAGCGGCGGACGGGUGAGUAACACGUGGAUAACCUACCUAUAAGACUGGGAUAACUUCGGGAAACCGGAGCUAAUACCGGAUAAUAUUUUGAACCGCAUGGUUCAAAAGUGAAAGACGGUCUUGCUGUCACUUAUAGAUGGAUCCGCGCUGCAUUAGCUAGUUGGUAAGGUAACGGCUUACCAAGGCAACGAUGCAUAGCCGACCUGAGAGGGUGAUCGGCCACCCUGGAACUGAGACACGGUCCAGGCUCCUACGGGAGGCAGCAGUAGGGAAUCUUCCGCAGUGGGCGAAAGCCUUACGGAGCAACGCCGCGUGAGUGAUGAAGGUCUUCGGAUCGUAAAACUCUGUUAUUAGGGAAGAACAUAUGUGUAAGUAACUGUGCACAUCUUGACGGUACCUAAUCAGAAAGCCGCGGCUAACUACGUG